GCUCAUAAACCUGUCCCACAGGUCUACCUCCCCAAUCACACGUUCUCGUCAAACUCUCAUCCUAGAUGUGUUCCUACUGGUGUCACCUGUGGAGCCCAGAAACAAAUCCAAACUCCAAAACAACCACUAGAAUCUCACACCCACAUCGCUUCAUUUCCUCAAGAGAGCCACUACCACUGCCCCCUGUAAAGCUUUGCUUCUGGCCAUCCCAAAAGAAAGGCAGUAUCUGGUUGAUUCCCAGCCAACAAAAGAGCAUAGGCAGAUGCAAUGGAUGGAGGGAAGCCUGGAGAAACAGAAGAGCUCUGCAGAGGACAGGCCUGAUACCUACACAAGAUACUGUCCCCUGGUCUCAUCAACUCUGAAACACCGAAGAACACCGAAGCAGGAAGAGUAAAAGGCAAUAGUAAGAUGCCGAAGUCACGAUUUAGGAGGAAAUCCAACUGAGAUGGUGAGGGCUCAACAUCCCGAUUAGGAGGCUGCACCACCCUCAGACCAACUCCACGGGAAGUGGUGCCACCGCGAGGGCUCUCUCUGCCUCAGCUGCGGACAGACUGGCUCAGAACUGCCAUGUGGGUCUUGCUGUUUCCCUCACUUCUACGUCCCAGCAUCACAUCAAGAUCAACAGGCCAGUCUGAUGGAAAUGAUUCACUAGGAAGCAGGAGAGCCAGAAUUCGUCUUUAAGGGGUCUAGCUCCAAGGUCUGUGGCUGCCAUUAAACCACGGCAAACGAACUUAUUUUUACUGAUCUCUUUAUUUCUCUGUUUCAACCCC